rnacentral:tRNA from 1 species
CGAUAAUUAGUUUAAUAAAAACAAAUGAUUUCGACUCAUUAAAUUAUGAUUAACUUCAUAAUUAUCAA